rnacentral:rRNA from 1 species
CCUUUAGGGGGCGCAGCAGGCGUGAAAACUCUACAAUGCAGGCAACUGCGAUAGGGGAACAUCGAGUGGUUUCCAUAUUGGAAAUCUGUCCCACCGUCUAAACGGUGGUUAGCAAGGGCCGGGCAAGACCGGUGCCAAAAGCCGCCGCGGUAAUACCGGCGGCUCGAGUGGUGGCCGAUAUUAUUGAGUCUAAAGGGUCCGUAGCCGGCUUUGCAAGUCUCUCGGGAGGCUUAACCGUUGGUCGUCCGGGGGGUACUACAUUGCUUGGGACUAAUCCAGCGGGAGAGGUAGGAGGUACU